AACGUAGGUUCCGAGCGUUAUCCGGAUUUACUGGGCGUAAAGCGCGUUCAGGCGGUUUGGCAAGUCGGGCAUGAAAUCUCUCGGCUCAACCGGGAGAGGUUGUCCGAUACUGCUGGACUUGAGGGCAGUAGAGGGUGGUGGAAUUCCGGGUGUAGUGGUGAAAUGCGUAGAUAUCCGGAGGAACACCGGUGGCGAAGGCGGCCUGCUGGGCAGUAGCUGACGCUGAAGCGCGACAGCGUGGGGAGCAAACAGG
rnacentral:rRNA from 1 species